CCGGGCGGGCGGGCCCGGGAGCCGCCGCGCCGCCGCGGGACGCGCAGGGCUUUAAGAAGGCUCUUGGCUGGAAGGAGAGAACUUGGAGUCCACGAUUACUGACAGCUAUAUGAUGCUUGUCACAGCUGCUGAUCUUAAUAAGGGGGAGACAGUUGAAAAAGAGAAGAUAUUAAUAAACUAAUGCAAGCAAAGAUGCGGUUGAAAUGAGAAAGGAAAUAUAACAAAGUGCCAUGGGAAUUCAAAUGAGAGAGAUUUAAGACCAUGAGACUUAAGGCAUCUCGUCUGAUCUUUGAAACACUAAUUUAUUUGGAGUAGACCGAGAAAAGACACUCUGCACACAACCAAAAGCACGGAAAAAGUCACGGAGUGUGAGCAAGAGUGGGCUGUGGUGUAGCUGCAGAAACUACCUUAGUCAGCACCGGGGAAGAAUUGACAGCACAGCUGACUGGGGCGCUUGACCAAGAGGCUCCCUGGAGGGCCUCUGUCUCCAGGAUUCUCAACGAAAAUUCAGCUCUUCCCGCACUCGUCCCCCACACUGGGCCACCAGAGGACCAGGCUGUGACGUGGUCAUUUUACUGUCAAACCUCUGGUACCAAAGAGAUGCUCAAAACAUAGAUUUUGCAUCAAUGAAAGCAAAGUGGACAGUGUUGGGGCCUUGGGUGAAAACCUGCAUAGACAGCUUUAAACACUCAACAAAGGCUGAACAGUCUUCAGUGGGGAGUGAUAAUUCAGGAAAUCUGGGGAAGAUUUGAUGACACUAAGAGCCUGUUUAGGAGGAAUGAUCAAGGAGGAAGGCUUGAUUGCCUUAAGGGUUGGAUUUCUAAGUAGUUCCUUGAGGCUCCAAAAUUCUAUGAUUGACAGAAGGGGAAACUGGGAUCUAUUGCAUUAAUUAGGAAAGGAAUGAAGCUUGGAGCUGAUAGGUAAUGUCCGGAGCCAAUGCACAAAUAUCUAGAGUCAACAAUAGCCGGAAGAGUCAGAGGCUGGUGACAAAUAGUAAAAAAAAAAAAAAAGAAUAGAAAGUAAAUUGUUGAAGAGAAUUUA